UACGAAGGGGGCUAGCGUUGCUCGGAAUCACUGGGCGUAAAGGGUGCGUAGGCGGGUCUUUAAGUCAGGGGUGAAAUCCUGGAGCUCAACUCCAGAACUGCCUUUGAUACUGAAGAUCUUGAGUUCGGGAGAGGUGAGUGGAACUGCGAGUGUAGAGGUGAAAUUCGUAGAUAUUCGCAAGAACACCAGUGGCGAAGGCGGCUCACUGGCCCGGUACUGACGCUCAGACACGACAGCAUGGGGAGCGAACGGG
rnacentral:rRNA from 1 species